rnacentral:rRNA from 1 species
AUACGGAGGAUCCGAGCGUUAUCCGGAUUUUUUGGGUUUAAAGGGUGCGCAGGCGGCCAUUUAAGUCAGCGGUUAAAUCGUGGGGCUCAACCCCAUUCUGCCGUUGAUACUGGGUGGCUUGAUUGCGGUCGAGGUUGGCGGAAUUCGUUGUGUAGCGGUGAAAUGCAUAGAUAUGACGAAGAACACCGAUUGCGUAGGCAGCUGACCAGACCGCAAAUGACGCUCAUGCACGAAAGUGCGGGGAUCGAACAGGAUUAGAUACCCUGGUAGUCCGCACAGUAAACGAUGAAUACUUGUUUUCGGCGAUAUAAUGUCGGAGGCAAAGCGAAAGCGAUAAGUAUUCCACCUGGGGAGUACGCCGGCAACGGUGAAACUCAAAUGAAUUGACGGGG